GAUGAACGCUGGCGGCGUGCCUAACACAUGCAAGUCGAACGGAGUCGUUUUGGAAAUCUCUUCGGAGAUGGAAUUCUCGACUUAGUGGCGGACGGGUGAGUAACGCGUGAGCAAUCUGCCUUUAAGAGCGGGAUAACAGUCGGAAACGGCUGCUAAUACCGCAUAAAGCAUUAAAUUCGCAUGUUUUUGAUGCCAAAGGAGCAAUCCGCUUUUAGAUGAGCUCGCGUCUGAUUAGCUAGUUGGCGGGGUAACGGCCCACCAAGGCGACGAUCAGUAGCCGGACUGAGAGGUUGAACGGCCACAUUGGGACUGAGACACGGCCCAGACUCCUACGGGAGGCAGCAGUGGGGAAUAUUGCGCAAUGGGGGAAACCCUGACGCAGCAACGCCGCGUGAUUGAAGAAGGCCUUCGGGUUGUAAAGAUCUUUAAUCAGGGACGAAACAAAUGACGGUACCUGAAGAAUAAGCUCCGGCUAACUACGUG
rnacentral:rRNA from 1 species